rnacentral:rRNA from 1 species
UACGUAGGUGGCAAGCGUUGUCCGGAUUUACUGGGCGUAAAGGGCGUGCAGGCGGUCUGUUAAGUCUGGGGUGAAAGCUCCCGGCUCAACUGGGAGAGGUCCUUGGAUACUGGCGGACUUGAGGGAGGCAGAGGAAAGUGGAAUUCCCGGUGUAGUGGUGAUAUGCGUAGAUAUCGGGAGGAACACCAGUGGCGAAGGCGGCACUCUGGGCCGGAACUGACGCUGAGGAGCGAAAGCGUGGGGAGCGAACAGG